UACGUAGGGGGCGAGCGUUGUCCGGAGUUACUGGGCGUAAAGCGCACGCAGGCGGUCUUUUAAGUUUGGAGUGACAGUUGGUGGCUUAACUGCCAAAGUGCUUCGAAAACUGAAAGACUUGAGGGCUUCAGAGGGACACGGAAUUCCGGGUGGAGUGGUGAAAUGCGUAGAGAUCCGGAGGAACACCAAUUGCGAAGGCAGCUCACUACCCAGAUAUUGACACUGAGGCACGAAAGCGUGGGGAUCAAACAGG
rnacentral:rRNA from 1 species